AACCUUUGCUGUCUUGGGACGGAUCACCGCUGCAAGAGGGGAAGUUGCUACUGUGAUGAAUUCUGCCAUGUGGCACCAGACUGCCACCCAGACCACAGUGUCCUCUGCAACCCUGGUAACUCACAUACAGGCCCGAUUCCACCUACAGCAAAGCUGGAUGCGAUGGCUGGCAGAGGCAAACCCUUUGCCUGCACUUCAGGCCAAAGCCGGGAUGUGGCCUAGAUGGUUCCUAAGGUCCCUGACAAUCCUGAGAUCUUGCAUCUUGUCUAUUUCAGGUCAAAGCUUCUCAGAUGACCAAGAUGGUGCUGCAGAUGGUGCUGAGGAUGGAGAACCCACCAAGCCCCGCUAGGAGCCACCUAGACUGGAUGCAGAGCAUGGACAAUUUGCUGAGGUCUGGGAGCACCCCCUCCAGAGAGUCCCUGAUCUCUCAAAACUUGGUCGUGAUCUAAAGUUUAUUUGAUGUACAACUCCCC
ensembl:lncRNA MUC20-OT1 MUC20 overlapping transcript